rnacentral:rRNA from 1 species
CCGGCGAUUUCCGAAUGGGGAAACCCAGUGUGAUUCGUCACACUAUCAUUAACUGAAUCCAUAGGUUAAUGAGGCGAACCGGGGGAACUGAAACAUCUAAGUACCCCGAGGAAAAGAAAUCAACCGAGAUUCCCCCAGUAGCGGCGAGCGAACGGGGAGGAGCCCAGAGCCUGAAUCAGCAUGUGUGUUAGUGGAAGCGUCUGGAAAGGCGCGCGAUACAGGGUGACAGCCCCGUACACAAAAGCGCAUGUGCUGUGAGCUCGAUGAGUAGGGCGGGACACGUGGUAUCCUGUCUGAAUAUGGGGGGACCAUCCUCCAAGGCUAAAUACUCCUGACUGACCGAUAGUGAACCAGUACCGUGAGGGAAAGGCGAAAAGAACCCCGGCGAGGGGAGUGAAAAAGAACCUGAAACCGUGUACGUACAAGCAGUGGGAGCACAGGUUUACCUGUGUGACUGCGUACCUUUUGUAUAAUGGGUCAGCGACUUAUAUUCUGUAGCAAGGUUAACCGAAUAGGGGAGCCGGAGGGAAACCGAGUCUUAAUUGGGCGUUAAGUUGCAGGGUAUAGACCCGAAACCCGGUGAUCUAGCCAUGGGCAGGUUGAAGGUUGGGUAACACUAACUGGAGGACCGAACCGACUAAUGUUGAAAAAUUAGCGGAUGACCUGUGGCUGGGGGUGAAAGGCCAAUCAAACCGGGAGAUAGCUGGUUCUCCCCGAAA